rnacentral:rRNA from 1 species
CACGUAGGGGACGAGCGUUGUCCGGAUUCAUUGGGCGUAAAGCGCGCGUAGGCGGCUCGGAAAGUCGGGCGUGAAAUCCCUGGGCUCAACCCAGGAACUGCGUCCGAUACUGGUUGGCUUGAAUCCGGGAGAGGGAUGUGGAAUUCCAGGUGUAGCGGUGAAAUGCGUAGAUAUCUGGAGGAACACCGGUGGCGAAGGCGACAUCCUGGACCGGUAUUGACGCUGAGGCGCGAAAGCCAGGGGAGCAAACGGG